ACUAAAAAAAAACUGAAAGGGCGCCAUUUCAUGGACAUUAAUAAGCCUGCCGAAGCAACUAGCCCCGAAAAUGGACGGCGCUCUAGUGUCGAGCCUAUCCCCGGCCGCUGCCGGCAGAUGCACGCAAACAAGGGGGUGCUAAGCUGCAGCGAGUAGGAGGGCCGCUGCAGUGAGCGUUGAAGGUGUCGGGCGUAAGCCCGCCUGGAGCCGCCGCUGGUGCAGAUCUUGGUGGUAGUAGCAAAUACUCAAGUGAGAACCUUGAGGACUGAAGUGGAGAAGGGUUAGACCGUCGUGAGACAGGUUAGCUUUACCCUACUGAUGACUGGUCAUUGCGAUAGUAAUCCUGCUCAGUACGAGAGGAACCGCAGGUUCGGACACUUGGUUCAUGUGCUUGGUCGAGAGACCAGUGGUGCGAAGCUACCAUCCGUGGGAUUACGACUGAACGCCUCUAAUUCAGAAUCCCGUCUGAGCAGUGCAAUGAUAUCGUGCGCACUUGCAGCGUUUACAGGUGACGUUAGAGUUUCUCGGGUCGAUCGCGGCGGGCCGCCGCGAUUCCCGGCUCGACAACGCAACGUGGACGUGGGGUCAUUAGUCGUUCGCCGAGGUAACGGUGCGAGCGACGUAUUUUCCGUUAUUUUCUCGCAAGCCGUUGGUUUGUUUUCGCAUGAGUC
rnacentral:ncRNA from 1 species